UGGGGAAUUUUGGACAAUGGGCGCAAGCCUGAUCCAGCAAUGCCGCGUGAGUGAUGAAGGCCUUAGGGUUGUAAAGCUCUUUUACCCGGGAUGAUAAUGACAGUACCGGGAGAAUAAGCCCCGGCUAACUCCGUGCCAGCAGCCGCGGUAAUACGGAGGGGGCUAGCGUUGUUCGGAAUUACUGGGCGUAAAGCGUACGUAGGCGGCUUUGUAAGUUAGAGGUGAAAGCCCGGAGCUUAACUCCGGAAUUGCCUUUAAGACUGCAUCGCUUGAAUCAUGGAGAGGUGAGUGGAAUUCCGAGUGUAGAGGUGAAAUUCGUAGAUAUUGGGAAGAACACCGGUGGCGAAGGCGGCUAUCUGGACCGACAUUGACGCUGAGGCGCGAAAGCGUGGGGAGCAAA
rnacentral:rRNA from 1 species